rnacentral:piRNA from 1 species
UCGGUAUCCAAGGAUAGAGUUGAUUGCGGU